rnacentral:rRNA from 1 species
AGUGAACGCUGGCGGUAGGCCUAACACAUGCAAGUCGAACGGCAGCACAGUAAGAGCUUGCUCUUACGGGUGGCGAGUGGCGGACGGGUGAGGAAUACAUCGGAAUCUACUUUUUCGUGGGGGAUAACGUAGGGAAACUUACGCUAAUACCGCAUACGACCUACGGGUGAAAGCAGGGGAUCUUCGGACCUCGCGCGAUUGAAUGAGCCGAUGUCGGAUUAGCUAGUUGGCGGGGUAAAGGCCCACCAAGGCGACGAUCCGUAGCUGGUCUGAGAGGAUGAUCAGCCACACUGGAACUGAGACACGGUCCAGACUCCUACGGGAGGCAGCAGUGGGGAAUAUUGGACAAUGGGCGCAAGCCUGAUCCAGCCAUACCGCGUGGGUGAAGAAGGCCUUCGGGUUGUAAAGCCCUUUUGUUGGGAAAGAAAAGCAGCAGGUUAAUACCCCGCUGUUCUGACGGUACCCAAAGAAUAAGCACCGACUAAAUUCGUG